UACAGCUUUUUUUUAAGUAUCAAGCGGCGAAAUUUAUCUAACUUUCAUAUGUAUAUAAAUUUCUUAUACUAUAGUGAAAUGCUACUCCAUCUGAAGAUGUACCAUCAACUAAAGAGAAAACGAAGAGAAAAAGUACUGGACUUCAAUAUUACACAAAACAAUUUUCAGUGAAUGGACGAAAACAGCUAAAAAUUAAGGCUAAAAAUGAAAAGAACAGGAAGUUUUCAAAAAUAAACCAACAAUGGAUAGCAAAGAAGAAUCGUCAUCUCCUAAAAAGAAGACAAAUUAAGAAAAAGAAAAAACAAGAAAUACAAAAAAACAGAAAAGAAGAUAGCAUUGGAUGCAUGCAUACCUGUCGGAAAAAUGAAAGUAACAGCGUUCCUUACAAUGGGAAAGGUUCACGUCGUGUUGAAUUCAUUUAUUCGCAAAAAGAUUAUGAAAAUGGGCAAUCAUUUUAUCACGCUGCUUCCAAAUUAAGAAAUUUCCCCCAAAACGAGUACCCAAUCGACGUCCACAUCUCCGAAUCACGUGGUUAUGUAUAUGUUACACAUAUAAUCAAUGAUCCGAUGGUUGGUGAUCUGAAUUUACGUCGUAAUAGAUUUGGAAGCACAUUAGUAUGGAACGAAAUAAAUCUAGGGCACACCAUACCAUUCGAAUCGCUGGCAUUUUCGGAUUCGUUACUAUCCUAUGAUAUUCCUUCCUUUGGGAAUACAGCGAUAAUACUAGGACACACUAAUCCGAUCCCAGUCUGUAUGCUUGGACACACUCGACCAUUUUGAGAAGAUAACAGUAGUUUAUGCAGUUAAGUCUGAAUUCG